AUUGAACGCUGGCGGCAGGCCUAACACAUGCAAGUCGAACGCGUGGCGGACGGGAGAGUAAUGUCUGGGAAACUGCCCGAUGGAGGGGGAUAACUACUGGACACUGUAUCUAAUACCGUAUACCAUCAGAUAUGCCCAGAUGGGAUGAGCUAGUUGGUGGGGUAACGGCUCUCCAAGGCGACGAUCCCUAGCUGGUCUGAGAGGAUGACCAGCCACACUGUAACGGAGACACGGUCCAGACGCCUACGGGAGGCAGCAGUGGGGAAUAUUGCACAAGGGGCGCAAGCCUGAUGCAGCCAUGCCGCGUGGAUGAAGAAGGCCCUAGGGUUGUAAAGUACUUUCAGCGGGGAGGCGUUACCCGCAGAAGAAGCACCGGCUAACUCCGUGCCAGCAGCCGCGGUAAUUC
rnacentral:rRNA from 1 species